rnacentral:SRP_RNA from 1 species
GCCGGGCAUAGUGGUGGGUGCCUGUAAUCCUAGCUACUUAGGAGGCUGAGGCAGGAGAAUCGCUUGAACCCAGGAGGCGGAGAUUGCAGUGAGCCGAGAUCACACCACUGCACUCCAGCCUGGGUGACAGAGUGAAACUCUGUCUCAA